GUGCCAGCAGCCGCGGUAAUACGUAGGGUGCGAGCGUUGUCCGGAUUUAUUGGGCGUAAAGAGCUCGUAGGCGGUUUGUCGCGUCGGCCGUGAAAACCUGCAGCUUAACUGUGGGCUUGCGGUCGAUACGGGCAGACUUGAGUUCGGUAGGGGAGACUGGAAUUCCUGGUGUAGCGGUGAAAUGCGCAGAUAUCAGGAGGAACACCGGUGGCGAAGGCGGGUCUCUGGGCCGAUACUGACGCUGAGGAGCGAAAGCGUGGGGAGCGAACAGGAUUAGAUACCCUGGUAGUCC
rnacentral:rRNA from 1 species